rnacentral:rRNA from 1 species
GACGAACGCUGGCGGCGCGCCUAACACAUGCAAGUCGAACGAGCGAGAGAGAGCUUGCUUUCUCGAGCGAGUGGCGAACGGGUGAGUAACGCGUGAGGAACCUGCCUCAAAGAGGGGGACAACAGCUGGAAACGACUGCUAAUACCGCAUAAGCCCACGGCUCGGCAUCGAGCAGGGGGAAAAGGAGCAAUCCGCUUUGAGAUGGCCUCGCGUCCGAUUAGCUAGUUGGUGGGGUAACGGCCCACCAAGGCGACGAUCGGUAGCCGGACUGAGAGGUUGAACGGCCACAUUGGGACUGAGACACGGCCCAGACUCCUACGGGAGGCAGCAGUGGGGAAUAUUGCACAAUGGGGGAAACCCUGAUGCAGCGACGCCGCGUGGAGGAAGAAGGUCUUCGGAUUGUAAACUCCUGUUGUUGGGGAAGAUAAUGACGGUACCCAACAAGGAAGUGACGGCUAACUACGUG